rnacentral:rRNA from 1 species
GUGGGGAAUAUUGGACAAUGGGCGCAAGCCUGAUCCAGCCAUGCCGCGUGUGUGAAGAAGGCCUUCGGGUUGUAAAGCACUUUUGUCCGGGAAGAAAUCUUCCAGGUUAAUACCCUGGGAGGCUGACGGUACCGGAAGAAUAAGCACCGGCUAACUUCGUGCCAGCAGCCGCGGUAAUACGAAGGGUGCAAGCGUUACUCGGAAUUACUGGGCGUAAAGCGUGCGUAGGUGGUUCGUUAAGUCUUCCGUGAAAGCCCCGGGCUCAGCCUGGGAAUGGCGGUGGAUACUGGCGGGCUAGAGUGCGGUAGAGGGUGGUGGAAUUCCCGGUGUAGCAGUGAAAUGCGUAGAGAUCGGGAGGAACAUCUGUGGCGAAGGCGGUCACCUGGACCAGCACUGACACUGAGGCACGAAAGCGUGGGGAGCAAACAGGAUUAGAUACCCGGGUAGUCC